rnacentral:rRNA from 1 species
GAGCGCUUCGGCGCUCAGUGGCGAACGGGUGAGUAGCACAUGGGCAACCUGCCCUUCAGAGGGGGACAACAGCUGGAAACGGCUGCUAAGACCGCAUAGGCGCGGACGGGACAUCCCGUCCACGUUAAACGUCCUUUCGGGGACGGCUGAAGGAUGGGCCUGUGGCGCAUUAGCUUGUUGGCGGGGCAACGGCCCACCAAGGCGACGAUGCGUAGCCGGCCUGAGAGGGCGGACGGCCACACUGGGACUGAGACACGGCCCAGACUCCUACGGGAGGCAGCAGUAGGGAAUUUUCGGCAAUGGGGGGAACCCUGACCGAGCAACGCCGCGUGAACGAGGAAGGCCUUCGGGUCGUAAAGUUCUGUUGCGAAGGAAGAACGCCGGAGGGAGGAAAUGNCCUCCGGGUGACGGUACUUCGCGAGAAAGCCACGGCUAACUACGUGCCAGCAGCCGCGGUAAUACGUAGGUGGCGAGCGUUAUCCGGAAUCAUUGGGCGUAAAGAGGGAGCAGGCGGCCGUGAGGGUCUGUGGUAAAAGACUGAAGCUCAACUUCAGUGAGCCAUGGAAACCGGACGGCUGGAGUGCGGCAGAGGAUCGUGGAAUUCCAUGUGUAGCGGUGAAAUGCGUAGAUAUAUGGAGGAACACCAGUGGCGAAGGCGACGGUCUGGGCCUGCACUGACGCUCAUUCCCG